rnacentral:rRNA from 1 species
AACGGCCGCGGUAUCAUAACCGCGCAAAGGUAGCAUAAUCACUUGUUUCUUAAUUAGAGACUAGUAUGAACGGUUAAAUGAGGGCUUAACUGUCUCCUGCAGCCAGUCAAUGAAAUUGAUCUGACAGUACAAACGCUGUCAUACAACUACAAGACGAGAAGACCCCGUGGAGCUUUAAAUCUAUACAUUAACCAAAAACAAUCAAACAACAUAAUGUAAUUUUUAAGUUGGGGUGACUGUGGAGUAAAACAUAACCUCCAUAUAAAACGACUAAAUUUCGUUACGUCAGGCUAACAAGCCCAACCAAAACAUUCUGACCCAGUCAAACUGAAUACUGAACCAAGUUACCCCAGGGAUAACAGCGCUAUCCCCUUAAAGAGUUCACAUCGCCAAGGGGGUUUACGACCUCGAUGUUGGAUCAGGACUUCCCAGUGGUGUAGCCGCUACUAAAGGUUCGUUUGUUCAACGAGUAAUGUCCUACGUGAUCU